rnacentral:misc_RNA from 1 species
UCAGUGCCCAACACUCACUACCACGUAACAUGACCGAUCGUAUGGCUGUAUGAUAAAAUUUUCCUUUUAACUUAGUGGGAAUCUUGCGAUCACAUACAAAACUUAAAGAUCAAUGAAGCUAAAUAUAAAACAAAAUAAUUGAAUGGUAAUGCAUGUGAAAAAGGAACAGCCAACUAUUUUUUUACUCAAAAUCUUGAAUGAUGACAAAAUACAACAUGAUUUUUUUUUUAUGAUGUUAUAUGAAUAAUUGUGGCAAACUUGUGAUUAUUGAAUGCACACGAAAAAAAAUAUGUUGAUUUGCUGGUCCAAGUAAUGCAUUAUCAGCAUGACCUAAUCUCAGAAAGUGCCCAUUAAGUAAUAAUCUAUUAAAUCGAAAAGCCAAAUCAGCUACUCAGGCCAUGUAAAUCUCCUGCAAUUCCUCAAGGCCAUG